rnacentral:tmRNA from 1 species
GCCGGCAACGGCUAUGGCGAUAAAUUGCCAUCGUAAUAAACCCAUCGGACCCGGGGGCAGUACCCGGCGCCUCCACCA